UUUUGCUAGAGCUUGUUUGACUGCACGUAUGCUUAAUCGAACAUUGUUGAUGCCUAAGUUGAGUGCUUCUCUGUUUUAUAAAGAAGUCGAACUUUUGAAGCCUAUUUCCUUUGAUAAGAUCUUCCAAUUCGAAAGAUUUAAUUCUAUUUGUAAAGGGUUUGUCCAAUUGAGUCGUUAUUCAGAUGUGUCGAAUCAAAGUGAUAUUAUUGAACUUCAGAAAGGUAGUGGAAGAAGG
rnacentral:misc_RNA from 1 species